UGGUCACAUCACAUUAAAACACAGAUUCCCAUACGAUCACCAAAGUUAAGCAACAUUGACCCUGGUCAGUACCUAGAUGGGUGACCACUUGAGAAUACUAGGUGCUGUAAG